CACGUAGGGGGCGAGCGUUGUCCGGAUUUAUUGGGCGUAAAGAGCUCGUAGGCGGUUUCGUAAGUCGGAUGUGAAAACUCCAGGCUCAACCUCGAGCUUGCAGGCGAUACGGGCAGACUUGAGUACUGCAGGGGAGACUGGAAUUCCUGGUGUAGCGGUGAAAUGCGCAGAUAUCAGGAGGAACACCGGUGGCGAAGGCGGGUCUCUGGGCCGAGUACUGACGCUGAGGAGCGAAAGCGUGGGGAGCGAACAGG
rnacentral:rRNA from 1 species